rnacentral:lncRNA from 1 species
CACAGUGAAAGAGUCAGUUCUUGGAUAUAUUUUUUUAAAUUAUUUAUUUUUUUGUCAGAGUUGCAGUUGUGGAGUUACAUAACCAAAGCAUCUAGAGCUCAGAUGGAAGAUGGUGCUCAGAUCUAGGUACUCAGAUGGCUGGCAGAGAUUUCUUUCAGAGUUCAGACUAUUGUUUUAAGUUAUCAGAUAGUUCCUCAGUACACAUUCUGUUCUUGCUUUUAAAGACAUUUGUAUCCUGUAAACCAGUAUCAUAUUUUGCUUUUCGUGGAAACUAAUCUACAAAACAGUUCUUUAAAACUGGGAAUUACUCUGUGGAAAAUUCUGCAGCCAUGUAGCCCUGAAUUGCAGAGGCCUCAGAGCAUAAUGUUGUGGAUAACUGAACUUGUAACAGGUGUUCAUGUUGAGGGAGAAAUGCAGUCAUUCUCCCAGUCAUAGUGAACUAUUCUAUUCUAUUCUAUUCUAUUCUAUUCUAUUCUAUUCUAUUCUAUUCUAUUCUAUUCUAUUCUAUUCUAUUCUAAAUUUAGCGUAAUUUCGAAGAGCCAAUAUAAUUUAAUGUAAUUUCAGUUUUUUAAUGAGCCAAGUAAAAAGCUUUGGGCAAGCCAACCAAUCUCCUAAACCUGUGAAGAACAGUCAGUGCCUCUCUUUCUCAGUAUUUAAGUAAUGCUAGCAUUCAGACAUUGAGGGAGAGAGAGAGAGAGAGGAAACAGCUCCUUUUCAGCAUGGGAUGUGGGAGACCUGAAUUCACAUAAUCUGGUUCUGCAAUUACCGCUUCCUGUAUUGGUUUGGGAAACUCUACAACGCCUCCACUUGGACAAGCAGGAAAACCAGUGCUGUGAUACAAUGGGAAGACUGUGCUAGCAUGCUGCUAGAAAAGGAUAUUGCUUAUAUUCCUGUGAAGCUGCCUUUUUGUGUGUUGUGGAAUAUGGCUGUGCUUAAGAAAUUCAGAGUAAUUCUCCAAAACAUUGAGAAACUACUCCCACCUUUGUUACAUAAAAGGGCUACCACAUACUUCUAAACGGGAUAUAACAACGGUAUGAAAAAAAACAUUGUGCUUUAAUGCUUUACCUACAAUUGCACAGAAUUAAAUGAGAAGCAGCAGUAAAACUGUAUUGGCACAGCGGGAAGAAAAAUGUUAGUCAUAACCAUCAACAGAAGAGGAAAUGAUAACUAGACAAAUAAUUGCUGUAACUUGCACUUUGAGUGUUUUGUCAUACCUGUGUUUUCAAUUUUCAGAGCCUAAAUAGUAUUGUUUUUGAAGAUGUACAUCAAAUAACUAUGUCUCAGAGACUUAUUGAUUAGAUUCUCUUUUGGUGCUACAGUUUUCUAUGAGAAGUAUCCUAAAGUGCACAAAGAGGAUUCUUACUGUGAGGUCCAUGUCUUCCACAAAUGUGUCACGCGUGAACUAACAAGCAACCUGGCAAGGAUAUGAAUCUUUUUUCUUUCAUUCUUUAUUAAUCAAAAGUGGUUUACUGACUGUAUGUACAGGUGUAUGGACUCAUAUUUGAGAGAGAUGUUAAGCAUCUUUGAGUACUUGUAGAGAGU